GGGCACGUAGCUCAGCAUGGAUAGAGCGGGCGGCUUCGGACCGCCAGGUCGUGGGUUCAAAUCCUCCCGUGCCCG
rnacentral:tRNA from 1 species